rnacentral:rRNA from 1 species
GGGGAACGACGGGGCAGAGUCGGCGGUACUCGGUGGGGGGCAAGCGGUAGCAGGAUUGAUUGGGCGUAAAGGGCGGGUAGGCGGCCAGCCUGGUCGGGAGUCAAAGCCGGGGGCUCAACCCCCGUCCGCUCCCGAGACCGGCCGGCUUGAGUCUGGCAGGGGAAGGCGGAAUUCCCGGUGUAGCGGUGGAAUGCGCAGAUAUCGGGAAGAACACCGGUGGCGAAGGCGGCCUUCUGGGCCACGACUGACGCUGAGGCGCGAAAGCUAGGGGAGCGAACAGGAUUAGAUACCCUAGUAGUC